UCUCUUGAAGACGCUGACUACUAUCUGGUUUUCUGUCCCGUCACUUCUCGAGUUGGAGCAGAUGUCAGUGAGGCCAUGGACCAUCUUCUCCCUGAAAAAG